rnacentral:rRNA from 1 species
UACGUAGGGGGCAAGCGUUGUCCGGAAUCAUUGGGCGUAAAGAACGUGUAGGCGGCCAGAUAAGUCCGCUGUGAAAUCUCGAGGCUCAACUUCGAGCUGUCGGUGGAAACUGUCUGGCUAGAGUCCGGAAGAGGAGAAUGGAAUUCCUGGUGUAGCGGUGAAAUGCGCAGAUAUCAGGAAGAACACCCGUGGCGAAGGCGGUUCUCUGGGACGGUACUGACGCUGAGACGCGAAAGCGUGGGGAGCGAACAGG